rnacentral:rRNA from 1 species
UACGGAGGGUGCAAGCGUUAAUCGGAAUUACUGGGCGUAAAGCGCGCGUAGGCGGCUAAUUAAGUCAAAUGUGAAAUCCCCGAGCUUAACUUGGGAAUUGCAUUCGAUACUGGUUAGCUAGAGUGUGGGAGAGGAUGGUAGAAUUCCAGGUGUAGCGGUGAAAUGCGUAGAGAUCUGGAGGAAUACCGAUGGCGAAGGCAGCCAUCUGGCCUAACACUGACGCUGAGGUGCGAAAGCAUGGGGAGCAAACAGGAUUAGAUACCCCAGUAGUCC